rnacentral:lncRNA from 1 species
GUCAUUCUAUCACACAAGACAGUCGAUUAAAUUGAAAAAAAAAUUGGGAAGUCUAUAAUUUUUAAUUUUUUGCACUAGGUUGAAUACACCUAAACUCGACCAUGAUUAUAAUACACAAGUAGUAACAGUUACGCAAUCAAGCUACACAACUAGCUAAACAACUAUAUUUUCGUAAACUACAAAAGAACUAUAUAUACACGAAAAUAAGUUAUACAACAUUUUCCAUCUUCAAAAUACAAAGAUUAGAUACUUUAGCUUAAUAACAUACAAAAUUCCACUAUUCUCAUCCCUCCAAAAAGGGACGACAAUGUUUUUCCACUCAACAAAUUUCAAUUAUAUUGUGUUUUUUUUUUCUUUUUACCACUCAUAGUGUAUGGAGUUUGGUUCGAAGCAGAUGGUAUUCAAAUUUGCGUCAAGCUCCGCUUCUUCUUCACCACUGCUUUUUCAUUUUCAAUUAGAUUGUAGCACUUAAGGAUACUCCGAGACAACUCCUUUACUAUAAGAUGGUGUUGAACCUUUAGGCACUCCUCUAUUGACAUCAUAAUUUGUGAAUCCAUUCAAAAAUCAUUAAGGCCCUGUUUGGCACCCAUUUUUAUCAAAAUGCAUUUUUCUCUCUCUUCUUUUCAACCACACAUUCUUUAUUAAAAUAAUAUUACACGUAAAUCAAAAACUUUUUCUUAUUUUUCAACCACACAUUUCCCAUCAAUUUACUAUUCAAAAAUGCAUUUUCACAUAAAAAUUUCUACCAAACACCCUCUAACAUGAAUAAUUACCUAAGAUCAAAUGAUAAUAUGUAAUACAUUUACCUUGUAACACACGUAGAAGAGCAUAUGAAACAAGUUUGACAUUAUAUCAUAACUUUCGAGAAACAAUAAUCAACUGUCGAGAAUUUCAAAUCAUAACUGUCAAGGAUGACAGUUUAUCUCAACAGAUGGAUUCCAUAAGAACUACACGUGAGUUCUCCAUAUGCUAACAGAACCAGAUGUUUGAAUCCUCAAAUUGAACCACAUUAUAUUAAAUUUAAAAACAUAUCAACUUAUAAAUUAAGCUCACAUUUAAAUUAAACUAAAAAAUUUCAUCCGAAGGACAGGUAAAUUGACCAUAAAUCGAUUCAACUCACUAUUAGUGAAAGAUAAAAAUGAUCCCAACGCAUGCAUUUAAAUUAUUGUACUUACAAACUGAAUAAUCAAGUCUUUAAGGAAACAUAAUCAUAGAACAAACAUAACUUCUUAUUCAUCCAAAAUUAAAUCAAGGACCCGAUAAAAACAUCAAAAUGUAUAGAUAAAAUGAACAAGCUUACAAAUAAAUGUAACUAAGUUGAUUCAGAAAUUAAAAAAUGAGACUAACUUCAUGCAAACUCAAAAUUAUAUUUAUUAACAAGAAUUUAGUUUAACGAUAACUCUAAAAACAAUAGCAUAUUUGAAAACAAAUUUUCUAUAAAACUUCAAAAUCAAGUAAAAUUGUCAAAAUCAUACAACUAACACUAAACAAGAGUGUACUAAAAUUUCUUACAUUCUUGCUUCCAAGUGCAACAUAAAUGUAAUUCAUUGAGCAAGAGUGCACUACAUUUUUCAUCUAUUUUCGCUUUUUCAUUAGGAAAAAAAAAAGUAAUCGUAAUUACAAAUCUAAUUCAAAAAAUAGGAACAUCAAAUAAUAAUGGAAAAAAAAAAGAAACAAAUCUAGAUUUUUUUUUUAAAACCAAAAAAUCAAACAAACUAAAAAAAUUCUACCCAACAUUACAUGAAACAUGCUUGAAAAUCUCAAUUUUUUUAGGAAUUUGAAUAUGGCCACUUAUUAAAUUGAAACCCUACAUAUGAAUUUCUUCCCCUGAACUUCCAAUUGCAACCAGCUAUAAUACGAAUAAAGCACAAAUUAUUCAAAAUAUUUAAAUCUUAAAAAUUAAAAAUGAUAUUUACCUCGAUUUGAAGAGGCAAAAAUGAAUCGUCGGAUAUUGAACUUGAAAUGUACUCCGACUGGGUGUGGGUUGUCGAUCAUGCGAUGGAUAAGUGGUUAUUGUGGGGUGGAAAUUCUUCAAGUUCUUCUUCACUAAUUUGUGUGAAAUGGGUUUAGAAAGUGGGUUUGCAAAAAGGAGGUACGUGCAAAAUUGGAAAAUGGGGUUUGAAAGUUGGGGGAGGGG